rnacentral:lncRNA from 1 species
AUCAGUCUGCACCACUGUAGGCGCUAGUGAGACGUGGUGGAAUGAAGCCGGGAUCCUGGUCUGUCCUGUUUCCGCUCUUGUCCUCCGGCUAGGAGGACCCCGGACAGGAAAGUAGAAGGAAGUGAGGAGGAGGCAGGAAGAAAAGGAAGUGAAGGAUUCUGGGAGGUGGGUCUGUGUGAUUUUUGGGGAGAGGGGAAACCCCGGCCAUUCCUACUUACUGGGAGCGCCUGCAGUUGAGCCACACCCUGUAAACACCACGCUUGUCUUUAUAUUUUGCAUAGAAUCCCAGCGACUCCUGGGAGGUCACGCAGGGGUGCAGUGGGUCGAUGGGCCUCUACCUCUGCUCACUUCUAGAACUCUCUCUCUUAAUCUGGGCAAGUGUUUAGAUGGCUCGGUAUCCUCUGCGUUUUAAAACAGACUUGUGUUGAUUUUCUCUGGAAACGCUGUGGGUUGAACGUUUUCUUUUUUCUUUUCUUCCUUUAUUUUUUUUUUUUAUUGUUUUCGAGGCCAGGAUGGUCUCGGACUCACAAGAUAUCCUGUGUGUACCUUGAGCAACUGGUGGGAGGCGGUUCCCUGGCACCUUUCACAUUAUAUUUCCCCAGGCUUGGCGACAAGCGCCGUUGAGCUGUCUCGCCAGCUUUGUGUCUAACUGCUCCGGGACCGAAUUCUGGGAACUCCCGACCCCGGCACGGUCCCUUUAAGAGGGAUUUUUCAGGCGCGCGUGUGGGGGCGUGGUAAAUUCGGGGCGGGGCCUUGCAGGGCUGACCAAUGGGCAGGCGCGUGUGGCUCGGGGGCGGUCCCCCUCCUGGGCGGGCCGCUCAGGGUUAAAGGGGCGCCCGCGGGUCGCCGCCAAUCGGCCUCGGGAAGACAAAGGGCCCUGUCGUCGCCGCCCCCCGAGCUGUUCCGGGCCAUGGGCAGGACAGACCGUCGCGUCGGUCCCAGAGCCAGGCUCCCCAGCACAGGCUACACACUGGACACUCAAAGCCAGACAGAAGCCCCCACACCCCCUCUCUGGACUGACGCAGAUGAAUAGCUAGAGGUCCAGAGAGACUGACUGUGUGCCCCUGAAGUGACCCAGCCUGGAGACUGUGAGCUGACCUUCAAAGUGAUUGAGCAGAACUGGGUGGGCAGCCUGUGGUAGGUUCUGGGAGAAGUAGGCCUGUCAGUCUCGUGCAAUUGAUUUGGGAGGGGUGUGUGAGUCCCUUGUGCAGAGAAAAACAGAGGCACAGAGAGGUGCAGCUGGCAUAAAAAGCUACACAGCAGCCAGAGGCAAAGCAGGGAUUAAACUCACCUGAGCCUUCAGGGCCCCGAGGCCCCAGCCCCAAUACUCUGGGCCAAGCAGUCUUGGCCUCUGAUCCGGCAGGAAGCUGUCCCCAACUGUAACAUGGGUGGCAUGAGGUGGCAAAAAUUAAGUAUUUGUCUGGCAGCAGUUUCUCCCUCCACCCAGGUCAGGUGGUGCAGCCUGGCCCUACAGAGCCACCACCCUGACCUCAUCCCUGCAGACUGAGGGUAAAGCACUGCACAGGCAGAGGGGCCGGGUGUUAGUGGGGUGCCUACUACAGACAUUCCAGGCUCUUCA